AGAGAGAGAGAGAGAGAGAGAGAGAGAGAGAGAGAGAGACCUGAGUGAAGGUUUGCAUCAGGGCCCUGGGCCAUUCUCUCUCAUUCUUCAACAAGGGUCCCAGGGCCAGGCAUCAAGGAGAGUCCCAGCCUCCCAUUAAACACACACACACACACACACACACAAGUGAAGUUAUCUCAACUCUGCUGCAAGAAUCACAGUGUUACUGAGCUGGUUUCCAGGCCAUUCCCAAGUCUGCCCUUGUCUCUCACUGCUAUCGGUUUGCUUGUUUCCCCCUCAUCCCUCUCAGGACACCCAUUCUGACUUUGAGGGCAAAGAUCCUAAGUCCUCUUCUUUUGCCACACCUCGAAAGUCGUAGGUGUUCAAUGAGUUUGAUGUGAUCUCUUCCCUUCCUCCCAUCCCCUGACCCUAUCUAUUCACUAUUUUCAUCUUUACCCUUUACCUCCUCCCCCACCCCUGCUGUUUCUUUUCUCUGUCCCUUUUCUUGUCAGGUAAUGUUUUGUCCCUUCCUUGUCUGUCUGUCUCUCUGUUCCUUCUUCGAGGCUGCGCAUUUUGUGGAAAAGGUCCUACGUUGGGAGGUCUGGCUCUGGGGCCAGUCCCAGCAUCCCCUGUAACCUUGCUCUGGUUUCUCCGGGCCCCAGCUUCCUCCUCUGUGACAAUGUCUAUUGGACUAUUGGUGGUUCCACAUCAAUAUGCACCAUCGCCAACCCAGGGGCAUGUGCAAAUAUCAUGGGCCUUUUUUUUUUUUUUUUUUUUGGUUGUCACAAUGCCUGGGGGUUGCCAUUCACAUUUAGUGGACAAGGACCAGGGAUGCUAAACCUGCGAUGCUCAGGCAGAUCCCACCCAGAUGCCAAUGGCACCUUCAUGCAGAAAUGCCAGUCGAUGGCCUCUUAAGGCCCCAGCAGUUAAUUUAGUGAUUCUACAAUGUUGUUUCUCUUUAUUCUUCCCUCUGUGCUUCCUACUCACUAAGGCAGUAAAAGCGGUCUCUCUGUAAUGCUUCUGUCUCUCGUCACAAGAAACCAGAGAUCCCCCUUUUUUUGUGUGGAAAUUCAUCUAAACAAUGGAAAGGUCACUUUGGCCCUUGGAACCAUUCCUGUCAUCGCUCAGUUUCAGCAGCCGUAGUGGCCGGCAUCAGCCUGGUACAUCCUCCGGGUACCGCAUAUAAAGCUCGUAAUAGCCUAUAAUGGAGUCUCAUGGAUAUUACAUGCUUCCAAAUCCCACAUUAUCUGGUUGGGGGGAUUAAAGAGAAGACUGGGAGGGGUUAGGAACACAGUGGGCCCCGGGGCUGGUGUCAGUACACAGAGCCACGCAGCGUGCCCAAUUCAUUUGCCAUGGCCCCCGCCUACCCAGCGUUCACCACUGGUGAGAAAGCAGUAAGUACCUCUGCCUCUUCAGAGCUCGGCAGAGGAAGGAUGCUAGAGAAAUCCCCGCUACCAGCAGACGGCCUUUUUCCUGUGGCCCCAAAAAAGAACCUCAGGUGGGUGCUCAGCUGAUGGAAACUUGCCUAGUAAACAUCAUGGUCAACAGGAUAAUUAAGAAGUCACCCAAGUGUAUGUUCUUGAGCCCUUUUUACCCGAUAGGGUUGUAGCUGGGUAGAAUUCUGGGAAAGACUUUGGCUUAACCCCUCCCUAUAGCAGUCAGAUCGCUGGCCUGGAAGUAGAACCCAUAUCCUAACCCUGCCUGCAAUGUAUCAGCCUUGGUCUCUCAUACGCUCUCAGAUUUAGUUCCUUUCCCUUUCUCCCUCCUCACUGCCUCCCUCCCUUCCUCCUUUUCUUUCUUCCUUCCCUCCUUCUUCCCUUCCUUCCUUGAAAUAAGAACCCCUCUCACAGGAAUGUACAGUACAGGGGAAAUGAAUGCAGGCCAAGACAACAGGCGGAUCUGCUGAAUUAUGAAAUGCUGAGUGACGUUCUCAUUCCCAAGCCGUCCUGUGGCGGGUGAGGCAGGAGCGCCCCAUCCUGAGGAAUAAUCAGCGAGCUGGUUCUGCCGGCGAAUGUAAUUGUGCCGAUCGUAAUCAUUUUGCUCCCGCUCUCUGCCCCUGUGGCAUUUAUUUCUUAGCCCAGAUAUUGAUCUAACAGUGGGAAAUUUUCCAUCUGAAUCGGUGAUGCUGGACCCUCCCCUAGUCCGAAGAUGCGUUUGGGAAAUUCUCAUUUUCCGUGGAUCACGGCUGAGCUAUUUGGCCUGAGGGAAACCGUGCCCUGCCGGAGAAGCGCCUCGGAUUGGAGAGAGAUUUUUUUGACCAUUAUGAGCAAAUCGGAAAUAAAUGUAAAACACUGCCUGGAAAUGCAAAGGCCUGUCAUUAUGGGAGAUAGGCAACAAAAUUUGGGGAGAUGUCACAGGAAAAAGAAAUGCCCAGAAAAUGACUGGUCGGGGCUGGCCUAGCAAGAAGGCACCCCGAGGGAGGCUGGGGGUUCAGGAAACCCUGGAACGAGUGCAGCUCCCAACUCUUCGAAUGUCCUCAGCUGAGUACAAAGCAUUUGGUACGAAUCGCGCCUUCCUCCCAACCCCAGCUGGACCAGGCACGAGGAAGAGAAUCUCAGAAGGCUUCAUGGAGAUAUAGACACAACCUCGGCUAGCCUUGGACACAUGGUCUCAACCCAGCCCUGGAACUCAGACCCCGGCAGGAGCCAUCUGGACCUGUGGGUGACCAUAACGCUUAUUACCAAGAAGAAUCAACCAAACCAGGCAGAAGGGGAGGGGAGAAAUCUUUGGCAGGUGAGCCGGGUGGACAUGUCCUGGGAAGAACCCUGUAGACAGGCAGGCCCACCCGCAUGUGCCUGGUCACGGUAGACAGCACUGCCUGGGGUCACCUUUUCUAUAAGGAAAACUAAGACCAAAGCCUUAUUUCCUGUGCAUCCAACAGGCGGCUGCUAUUAUUCGGAGGCGGCAGAAAAAACAGAAGCCCCCGCUGGGUGCCAGGGUGAGAGGCCAGGAAUGUGCAGGGAAGAAUCCUACCUCUGAGGCUGACAAAUCAGCCUUGCCUCGAGACAAAAUUAGCUUUACUUAAGGUUACCCAAAGCAGAACUGAUUCUUUUUCUGGGCCAGAUCAACCAUUUCGGCACAGAAGAGAUAGCAAGAAGGAAGAGAACAGGGCCUGGGACACUUCUUGAUUAAGGGCAGGAA